UACGGAGGGUGCAAGCGUUAAUCGGAAUUACUGGGCGUAAAGCGCACGCAGGCGGUUUUGUAAGUUAGAUGUGAAAGCCCCGGGCUCAACCCGGGAACUGCAUCUGAUACUGGCAAGCUUGAGUCUGGUAGAGGUGGGUAGAAUUCCAGGUGUAGCGGUGAAAUGCGUAGAGAUCUGGAGGAAUACCGGUGGCGAAGGCGGCCCCCUGGACGAGGACUGACGCUCAGGUGCGAAAGCGUGGGGAGCAAACAGG
rnacentral:rRNA from 1 species